rnacentral:rRNA from 1 species
GAUGAACGCUGACAGAAUGCUUAACACAUGCAAGUCAACUUGAAUUUGGGUUUUUAACUUAGAUUUGGGUGGCGGACGGGUGAGUAACGCGUAAAGAACUUGCCUCACAGUUAGGGACAACAUUUAGAAAUGAAUGCUAAUACCUGAUAUUAUGAUUUUAAGGCAUCUUAGAAUUAUGAAAGCUAUAAGCACUGUGAGAGAGCUUUGCGUCCCAUUAGCUAGUUGGAGAGGUAACAGCUCACCAAGGCGAUGAUGGGUAGCCGGCCUGAGAGGGUGAACGGCCACAAGGGGACUGAGACACGGCCCUUACUCCUACGGGAGGCAGCAGUGGGGAAUAUUGGACAAUGGACCGAGAGUCUGAUCCAGCAAUUCUGUGUGCACGAUGAAGUUUUUCGGAAUGUAAAGUGCUUUCAGUUGGGAAGAAAGAAAUGACGGUACCAACAGAAGAAGUGACGGCUAAAUACGUGCCAGCAGCCGCGGUAAUACGUAUGUCACGAGCGUUAUCCGGAUUUAUUGGGCGUAAAGCGCGUCUAGGUGGUUAUGUAAGUCUGAUGUGAAAAUGCAGGGCUCAACUCUGUAUUGCGUUGGAAACUGUAUAACUAGAGUACUGGAAAGGUAAGCGGAACUACAAGUGUAGAGGUGAAAUUCGUAGAUAUUUGUAGGAAUGCCGAUGGGGAAGCCAGCUUACUGGACAGAUACUGACGCUAAAGCGCGAAAGCGUGGGUAGCAAACAGG